UGCUGGGAUUACAGGCAUGAGCCACUGCACUUGACCAAGGGACUAAGCCAGUGGAUCACAAACAUCCUGGAGAGCAGUGACUCUGUGAUUCCAUCACAAGAAUAUGAAGGACUGAGAAGAUCUCCAGCUCUGCCCAUUGCACCUUCCCAUUGAGAAGCAGCAUGGCACCCUGGUGGCAGGGGCUGAUACUCAGCCGGGCCAGGGUGCUCUCCUGUUAACCAUAACCAAGCUCACAGGACAUGGGAUGAGCCCACUGUGUGACACAGGGAGCGGGACACAGUCUGUUAAGUCUUGCACAGCCAUGCUCUGCCACGCAGGCAGGCCUUUCCUUGGCCUCCCUCUCCCUGUUCGUGCUCAUGUGAACAUCCACCUACGUGGAUAGACUGGGCUUUGGUUCAUUAUUGCUCUGUGAAUUCCUCGAACUUCCGCAUCUGCCCAACCUCCCCCACCCCAUUGUUUUCAUUGUGUUUCACCAAAUGGAAAUUCUAGAGUAAGCAUGUGAGUCCUCUCCCAAACUUGUUCACUGUUGAGAGUGCUAAAAUGCUAACCCCAGAUGCUAACUGAGGGGUAGGGUUACCUUAUCUUUAGAGCACUGCGAAUUGUAUGUUAAGUGGAACUUAAUGAAAAAAUAGUUAAUUGACCAACAUGAAUAUCCCCUGAACAGAAUCUCCCCUGAACAGAAUCCUACAAUGAAACUAAGGGAGAUAAAUAAAGCUGUUUACCUGAAAGCUCUCUCUAAUCAAGAUCCUUUGAAAUUUAUAAAACAUGGUCAAUAUUUGCACUGGACUUUGUAAAAAUAAAGCUUGAUAAGAGAAGA
rnacentral:lncRNA from 1 species